GAAUAUUGCGCAAUGGGGGAAACCCUGACGCAGCGACGCCGUGUGAGGGAAGAAGGCUUUCGGGUCGUAAACCUCUGUCGGGAAGGAAGAACCUCUCAAGGCUGAACAAGUCUUGGGACUGACGGUACUUCCAAAGGAAGCACCGGCUAACUCCGUGCCAGCAGCCGCGGUAAUACGGAGGGUGCAGGCGUUAAUCGGAAUCACUGGGCGUAAAGCGCGCGUAGGCCGUCUUUUAAGUCGGACGUGAAAGCCCUCGGCUCAACCGGGGAACUGCGUUCGAAACUGGGAGACUUGAGUCCUAGAGAGGGUGGCGGAAUUCCGGGUGUAGGAGUGAAAUCCGUAGAUAUCCGGAGGAACACCGGUGGCGAAGGCGGCCACCUGGACCGAUAUUGACGCUGAGACGCGAAAGCGUGGGUAGCA
rnacentral:rRNA from 1 species